UACGUAGGGUGCAAGCGUUAAUCGGAAUUACUGGGCGUAAAGCGUGCGCAGGCGGUUUUGUAAGCCAGAUGUGAAAGCCCCGGGCUUAACCUGGGAAUGGCAUUUGGGACUGCAAGGCUGGAGUGUGGCAGAGGAGACGUGGAAUUCCUGGUGUAGCAGUGAAAUGCGUAGAUAUCAGGAGGAACACCGAUGGCGAAGGCAGGUCUCUGGGCUGACACUGACGCUCAUGCACGGAAAGCGUGGGGAGCAAACAGGAUUAGAGUACCCCGUAGAC
rnacentral:rRNA from 1 species